rnacentral:rRNA from 1 species
GAACGGUGAGUAACGCGUGAGAAACCUGCCUUCAGUGGGGGACAACAGUUGGAAACGACUGCUAAUACCGCAUAAUGUAUCGAUAGGGCAUCCCCUGAAUACCAAAGCUUUAUGUGCUGAAAGAUGGUCUCGCGUCUGAUUAGCUAGAUGGCGGGGUAACGGCCCACCAUGGCGACGAUCAGUAGCCGGUCUGAGAGGAUGAACGGCCACAUUGGGACUGAGACACGGCCCAGACUCCUACGGGAGGCAGCAGUGGGGAAUAUUGCACAAUGGGGGAAACCCUGAUGCAGCAACGCCGCGUGAGGGAAGACGGUUUUCGGAUUGUAAACCUCUGUCCUCUGUGAAGAAGAAAGUGACGGUAGCAGAGGAGGAAGCCACGGCUAACUACGUG